UACGGAAGGUGCAAGCGUUGUUCGGAUUGACUGGGCGUAAAGCGCACGUAGGCGGGUUUACAAGUCGGGUGUGAAAGCCCCGGGCUCAACCUGGGAACUGCACUCGAAACUGUAGAUCUUGAAUACCCAAGAGGUUGGUAGAAUUCCAGGUGUAGGAGUGAAAUCCGUAGAUAUCUGGAGGAACAUCGGAGGCGAAGGCGGCCAACUGGUGGUGUAUUGACGCUGAGGUGCGAAAGCGUGGGGAGCAAACAGG
rnacentral:rRNA from 1 species